AUUUAGUUAUAUUAUAUGUAUAUAUAAUUAAUAUUUUUAUAUAUUCAUGUAUCUGUUCGUUUUGGUUAUUUCGGAAAUAAAAAUAUAGGAACUGUUCGGAUAUUUGAAGGUAUUGGUCCGAUUUCGGAUAUUUCGGUUCGGUUUCGGUUAUUUUGCCCAGGCCUAGAUAUACCACCUGGCAGCUAGGUCCUAGCUAAUGAGAAAAUUUAGGCUAAAAGAAAACCAAGCUUCACAUGUACCAAACCACACCUACAAACAUUUACAACUUCGUUUGGCAUGAACUUGAAAAGCUUGAAAAAAAACUUGAAAAGCUCUUAAUAUUCUUAUUAUAUUUAUCAUAAUUUUUUUUGGUCAACUCAUAAUACUCCAAUAUUUUAUAGAGAAAUUAUGACUCCUACCAAAACAUUUUAAGUCUAUUUAGCUAUCUACUAUUUAACACUAUUUACCCACUGUAUAUAAUCGUUUAUGACUCUGAUACCCCUAUAUCUAAACAAAUGCACAAAUCGUAUACGUAGGCAAAAUCUUCUGUACGAUCUGAUUUACUGUCUUUAUCUUUUUCAAAUCUUCUCUUGUCAGAUGAAAAUAUUGAUAUCACAUUUCUUUAUCACUAUUUCAAAAUUUCAAACUUCUCGUCUCUCUUCAUCUUUCAUCUCUCACAUUUUUAAUCUCUUAUCUCUUCCGAUAGUUUUUUCUUUCAAUUUCCAAAUAACAACCCUAGGAAUUGCUCUAGGGGAAAUCUUAGAAAUUGAGAAUAACGCCUCAGCCACCACUAUUCAAUUCUGGAGAGAAAUUUUGCGGCUAGAGAAGAACCAGUUGGAGUGAAGGUCACAACACUGUACCACAAACCCUACGGUCUCAUACAAAUUCAAAAGGAGGAAAAGAAGCUGCAAAAUAAAGUAAUGAAGUCACUGGAAAGGGGAAAAAUGCUACGACAAGUAGCAUACUGAAAUUGUUUUUAUUUUGUCUUGGGGAGGGUUUAUUGUCGCCACCUCUGUCACUAUUAUCACGCUGAAAUUUAAUAGGAUUAAUGUCAUAUCUCUUUGGAAAAUAUCAUUUUGUCUUUAUUAUGUCUUGAACUCGUAAGCUCUGGUUUAUGACUUCUAUCUAGUGUCUUGUUUUGUUUCUUGGAUGUGUGUAUCAAUUUCCAUCGAUGUUGUUUCAACUGAUAUUUCAGUGUUGUCUGACCUGAAUAUUUUUUCCAAUCACUUAGUGGUGUAGUAUGUACGCACUUGGAUUUUCCUGGCGAAUACAUUUGUAAUUAAAUGUAUUUAGCCAUAUAACUAAUAUUAUAUCAAUCAGUCCUUUACAUUUAGA